AUGUUAUAUACUUUGAUGAUAUUUUCAGAUUUUAAAUACUCCUAUAUGACAAGCACAAUCCCUGGUACUAAUGCUUACUCUUUUUAUUUCGGAUGUUCAAGUGUAGCAUCUAUUGACCAAUGCAAGCUCCAUCAGGAUGUGUGUAGUGUCCAUAAGUUUCUUUUUGGCCAGUACAGUGAGAAAAAUAUAUGGAACGUACAACAAUCCUACAUGAAACAUUCUGAACAAAGUUCUAUAGGGCCAACUUGCAUUUUCAUGUCAAGCAUGGCUGAUUAUCAGAGGGCAAGGAAAGAUGGAGUAGUAGAAUCAUUGCCUACGAUGAGUUCAACGGAUCGAUGUGCACAUUAA
rnacentral:rRNA from 1 species